AACGCUCGGAAACGGACGCUAAUACCGCAUACGUCCUACGGGAGAAAGCAGGGGACCUUCGGGCCUUGCGCUAUCAGAUGAGCCUAGGUCGGAUUAGCUAGUUGGGGAGGUAAUGGCUCACCAAGGCGACGAUCCGUAACUGGUCUGAGAGGAUGAUCAGUCACACUGGAACUGAGACACGGUCCAGACUCCUACGGGAGGCAGCAGUGGGGAAUAUUGGACAAUGGGCGAAAGCCUGAUCCAGCCUUGCCGCGUGUGUGAAGAAGGUCUUCGGAUUGUAAAGCACUUUAAGUUGGGAGGAAGGGCAGUUACCUAAUACGUAUCUGUUUUGACGUUACCGACAGAAUAAGCACCGGCUAACUCUGUGCCAGCAGCCGCGGUAAUACAGAGGGUGCAAGCGUUAAUCGGAAUUACUGGGCGUAAAGCGCGCGUAGGUGGUUUGUUAAGUUGGAU
rnacentral:rRNA from 1 species